UUUUUCUUGGUUAAUCAAUCUGGCUUAGACUUCCACUUAGUUAUUGAACAGAAUUGACCUCUUGAAGUUAUUCAACAUAGUAUUGUCAGUUCUAUCCAGAUCAAUUGUGCAAGGAAAAAAAAUGAGUGGGCAAAUAAUUCAGUGGGCAUCCUUGUCUUGUUUCUGAUACUAGAGGAAAAGCUUUCAGUUUUAUACCGUUGAGAUAAAAGUUAGCUGUGGGUUCAUUAUAUAUGGCUUU
rnacentral:lncRNA from 10 species